rnacentral:rRNA from 1 species
ACAGUUGCCAGCGUACUCUCUGGAGUGACGGGUACACUGUGGGGACCGCCGCUGCUAAAGCGGAGGAAGGAAUGGGCAACGGUAGUCAGUAUGCCCCGAAUAUCCCGGGCUACACGCGAGCUACAAUGGUUGGUACAAUGGGUAUCUACCCCGAAAGGGGACGGGAAUCUCCUAAAACCAAUCUUAGUUCGGAUUGAGGGCUGCAACUCGCCCUCAUGAAGCUGGAAUCCGUAGUAAUCGCGUUUCAACAGAACGCGGUGAAUACGUCCCUGCUCCUU